UACGUAGGGCGCAAGCGUUGUCCGGAAUUAUUGGGCGUAAAGAGCUCGUAGGCGGUUUGUCGCGUCUGCUGUGAAAACCUAAGGCUCAACCUUGGGCUUGCAGUGGGUACGGGCAGACUAGAGUGCGGUAGGGGGUGACUGGAAUUCCUGGUGUAGCGGUGGAAUGCGCAGAUAUCAGGAGGAACACCGAUGGCGAAGGCAGGUCACUGGGCCGCAACUGACGCUGAGGAGCGAAAGCAUGGGGGAGCGAACAGG
rnacentral:rRNA from 1 species